rnacentral:rRNA from 1 species
AGUGAACGCUGGCGGUAGGCCUAACACAUGCAAGUCGAACGGCAGCACAGUAAGAGCUUGCUCUUACGGGUGGCGAGUGGCGGACGGGUGAGGAAUACAUCGGAAUCUACUUUUUCGUGGGGGAUAACGUAGGGAAACUUACGCUAAUACCGCAUACGACCUACGGGUGAAAGCAGGGGAUCUUCGGACCUUGCGCGAUUGAUUGAGCCGAUGUCGGAUUAGCUAGUUGGCGGGGUAAAGGCCCACCAAGGCGACGAUCCGUAGCUGGUCUGAGAGGAUGAUCAGCCACACUGGAACUGAGACACGGUCCAGACUCCUACGGGAGGCAGCAGUGGGGAAUAUUGGACAAUGGGCGCAAGCCUGAUCCAGCCAGACCGCGUGGGUGAAGAAGGCCUUCGGGUUGUAAAGCCCUUUUGUUGGGAAAGAAAAGCAGCAGGUUAAUACCCCGCUGUUCUGACGGUACCCAAAGAAUAAGCACCGGCUAACUUCGUG